AGAGUUUGAUUCUGGCUCAGAACGAACGCUGGCGGCAGGCUUAACACAUGCAAGUUGAGCGGGAAUUGAGAGUAGCUUGCUACUGAGAUGAGAGCAGCGCACUGGUGAGUAACACGUGGGAACGUACCUUUUAGUGGGGGACAACAUUUGGAAACGGAUGCUAAUACCGCAUAAGCCCUGAGGGGGAAAGGAGCAAUUCGCUAAAAGAUCGGCCCGCGGAAGAUUAGGUAGUAGGUGGGGCAACGGCCUACCUAGCCGACGAUCUAUAGCUGGUCUGAGAGGACGAUCAGCCACAUUGGAACUGAGACACGGUCCAGACUCCUACGGGAGGCAGCAGUGAGGAAUAUUGGGCAAUGGAGGGAACUCUGACCCAGCCAAUGCCGCGUGAGUGAAGAAGGUUUUCGGAUUGUAAAGCUCUUUCAGAUGGGAAGAUGAUGACGGUACCAUCAGAAGAAGCACCGGCUAACUUCGUGCCAGCCGCGGC
rnacentral:rRNA from 1 species